rnacentral:rRNA from 1 species
UACGUAGGGGGCUAGCGUUGUCCGGAAUCAUUGGGCGUAAAGAGCGUGUAGGCGGUCCGGUAAGUCCGCUGUGAAAGUCAGGGGCUCAACCCUUGGAUGCCGGCGGAUACUGCCGGGCUAGAGUCCGGAAGAGGCGAGUGGAAUUCCCGGUGUAGCGGUGAAAUGCGCAGAUAUCGGGAGGAACACCUAUGGCGAAGGCAGCUCGCUGGGACGGUACUGACGCUGAGACGCGAAAGCGUGGGGAGCAAACAGGAUUAGAAACCCGU